rnacentral:rRNA from 1 species
CGCACAGUAAACGAUGUGCACCAGGUGGCGGGGGGUCGACCCCCGGUACCGUAGCUAACGCAUUAAGUGCACCGCCUGGGGAGUAUGCUCGCAAGGGUGAAACUCAAAGGAAUUGACGGG